AACGAACGCUGGCGGCAGGCUUAACACAUGCAAGUCGAGCGCCCCGCAAGGGGAGCGGCAGACGGGUGAGUAACGCGUGGGAACGUACCUUUUGGUUCGGAACAACUCCGGGAAACUGGAGCUAAUACCGGAUAAGCCCUAACGGGGAAAGAUUUAUCGCCGAAAGAUCGGCCCGCGUCUGAUUAGCUAGUGGUGAGGUAACGGCUCACCAAGGCGACGAUCAGUAGCUGGUCUGAGAGGAUGAUCAGCCACACUGGGACUGAGACACGGCCCAGACUCCUACGGGAGGCAGCAGUGGGGAAUAUUGGACAAUGGGCGCAAGCCUGAUCCAGCCAUGCCGCGUGAGUGAUGAAGGCCUUAGGGUUGUAAAGCUCUUUUGUCCGGGAAGAUAAUGACUGUACCGGAAGAAUAAGCCCCGGCUAACUUCGUG
rnacentral:rRNA from 1 species